rnacentral:rRNA from 1 species
UGAGUUCUCCCUGAGACUUUAAGUCUCCUGAAGGAACGUUGAAGACGACGACGUUGAUAGGCCGGGUGUGUAAGCGCAGCGAUGCGUUGAGCUAACCGGUACUAAUGAACCGUGAGGCUUAACCUUA